rnacentral:rRNA from 1 species
GAUGAACGCUGGCGGCGUGCCUAAUACAUGCAAGUCGAGCGAACGGACGAGACGCUUGCUUCUUUGAUGUUAGCGGCGGACGGGUGAGUAACACGUGGAUAACCUCCCUAUAAGACUGGGAUAACUUCGGGAAACCGGCGCUAAUCCCGUAUAAUAUUUUGAACCGCAUUGUUCAAAAGUGAAAUACGGUCUUGCUGUCACUUAUCGAUGGAUCCUGGCUGCAUUGGCUAGUUGGUAAGUUAACGGCUUACCAGGGCGACGAUGCAUAUCCGAACUGCGCGGGUGAUAGGCCACACUGGAGCGGAGACACGGACCAGAGGACUACGGGAGGCAGCAGAAGGGAAUCUGCCGCAAUGGGCGAAAGCCUGACGGAGCAACGGCGCGUGAGUGAUGAAGGUCUUGGGAGCGUAAAAAUGUGUUAUUAGGGAAGAACAUAUGUGUACGUAACUGUGCACAGCUUGACGGUACUUAAUCAGAAAGCCACGGCUAACUACGUG